rnacentral:rRNA from 1 species
UACAGAGGUCUCAAGCGUUGUUCGGAUUCAUUGGGCGUAAAGGGUGCGUAGGUGGCGCUGUAAGUCGGGUGUGAAAGUCCAGGGCUCAACCCUGGGAUGCCGGUGGAUACUGUCGGGCUCGAGUCCGGAAGAGGCGAGUGGAAUUCCUGGUGUAGCGGUGAAAUGCGCAGAUAUCAGGAGGAACACCGAUGGCGAAGGCAGCUCUCUGGGACGGUACUGACGCUGAGACGCGAAAGCGUGGGGAGCGAACAGG